UCGGCACAAGCAGGCUGAAAGCGAGCGAGGGGAGCUGCAGUUUUCCAGCAGACAUAUAUUGGCUGGAGUAUUUAUGGCGUCCAUUUACAGUAAUUGCAGUGAGAGGAAGAAAGUGCCGGUUUAUUAUAGCGCUGGCUGGCUCGACGAUGAUCAUCCGUGCCCAACCGCUGACCUUCCUGUCUUUUCCGCUAUGACAUUGCGAGUCCUGAGACCACAGCAUCCCGGCGUUCCACAAACACGGUGAGUCUCCGCGCUCCAGUUGGUGCAUAUUGUGAAACAAAGAGGGUGGAAACUAUGGAGUGCUCGUGUUGCGGACUUCGGACGCCCAGCCUGUCUUCAUAACAGAAGACUUCCAUCAGUCCUGCUCCUGAUUCCCGUCUCCACGGCGACCACAGCCUAUAGUUUGCACAGUAGCUGGGACCACUGCUCUGGUCUGUGAAUGAACCUUUGGGAGCUGGAAUUCCUCAACUCUGGGAGCUGGGGUUGGAUGUUUCUCUGACUGCUGACUUGCAAACAUCCCUGGCUCUGCUCCUGGAGAGCCGCAGGGUCUG